AAUAAGACUAUGAAGAGAAGAGUAGGUAUAGAGGAAAUUAAAGCGAGUCGGUGAUGGUGUAAGUCCGAUAUGGAACCUAUAUUGAAGAACAUCUCAGAGUUUCUAACCGAAAUCUUUUAAGAGAGUAGACUUAGACGGAUUCACACCGUUAAUCAGUGAGCAGUAUAAAAAGUACUGUUUUUUAAGUGGUCUUUAUGACAAAUUGGGUGGUACCGCGAAAAUAGCCUUUCGUCCCUUUG
rnacentral:ncRNA from 1 species